UACGUAGGGGGCUAGCGUUGUCCGGAAUCAUUGGGCGUAAAGCGCGCGUAGGCGGCCAGAUAAGUCCGGUGUGAAAGUCACAGGCUCAACCUGUGAAUGCCGCUGGAAACUGUCUGGCUUGAGUCCGGAAGGGGCGAGUGGAAUUCCUGGUGUAGCGGUGAAAUGCGCAGAUAUCAGGAGGAACACCAAUGGCGAAGGCGAAUCUCUGGACAGUUACUGACACUGAGGCACGAAGGCCAGGGGAGCAAACGGG
rnacentral:rRNA from 1 species